UAUUCAAAAAUAAAACAUUAUAUUUUAAGCAUAACUUCAUCCAUAAAUUAUCAAAAUUAUAGAUCUGCAAUUAUUUCAAUAUAUCCAUGCAUUCUUGAAAAAUAAAUAUUGUCCGAUGCAACUAUAAUUGCUCCCACAAAUACCAAGAUAUAUAUAAAUGGUACUCGAUUAUAAGAUAACACUAAAAAUAACAGCUUGGAAUUAUCAAUGGCCAUGGAAGAGUUUUUGGAUAAAUAUUAUGUUUCUAUCUUAAAUCGUUGGUGGUGUUGGAGC
rnacentral:lncRNA from 1 species